AUGACCGAAGGUGAACAUGAACGUAAGCUCAUAAAUUUUUAUGGAACCACGAAAGAGAUCAUUCAGUUAGACUACAACUUGGACGGCAGAUCAGUUGUUUUGUUUAAAUGUGACUGGUUUAAACUUGAUGGAAAGAAGACUGAGCUUAAAAAUGAUGGUUUUUCCAGAAGCAUAAAUGUUGGAAGUAUGUGGUACAAGGACGAUUCUUUGAUUCUGGCUACGCAGGCUAGAAACGUCUUUUAUUUGCCAGACACGAAGUAUGGGACGAAUUGGCAAGUUGUGUAAACAUUUGAAUAUAGGCAUCUCUUCAAUAUUAAUGAACUAAGGGUGUACCUUUUAGUGGUCCUGCAUAUCAAGAGGACGAGUGCUGUGAUAAGGAGGGUAGGAGAACGUAUGUUUCUAACCUUACAUCCGAGAAGCCUUUGCAUAGAGAUGAUGAGCAAUACAUUGUUUUUGAAGCUGAUGUAG
rnacentral:rRNA from 1 species